rnacentral:sRNA from 15 species
GUCAACAACCCAACGACUCAAGUCGUGGGCUUGAAUGCCCCGUGUUGACCAGACCAAGGUUGGAAACAGAACGCGCGUUUAGAUGUCAUGACACAUAUUCGUC